rnacentral:rRNA from 1 species
UACGGAGGGUGCAAGCGUUAUCCGGAUUUACUGGGUUUAAAGGGUGCGCAGGCGGAUAUGUAAGUCAGUGGUGAAAUCUCUAGGCUUAACCUGGAAAUUGCCGUUGAUACUAUAUAUCUUGAAUGUUGUGGAGGUAAGCAGAAUAUGUCAUGUAGCGGUGAAAUGCUUAGAUAUGACAUAGAAUACCUAUUGCGAAGGCAGCUUACUACGCAGAUAUUGACGCUCAUGCACGAAAAGCGUGGGGAUCAAACAGG